UUCCAGUUGAGGUUGGUGGUGUCUGGGAGCUCCGUGGGAUGAUGGAAUGUCAUCCCGAUCUGGAACAGCAUUGCAAGGGUUCCCCCUCAAGGAAGCUGGCGAGGGUGAGCAGCACAAACCCCUUGAGAAGAUGUUGGGGCUCACCUGAGCCAUGGCAAUGAGCAUUGCUCGUUCCUCCAUUUGGGCGUGGUGGAUCAAGCAGGAAAAAACAAAAACAAAACACUUUUCAAAAUAGGGAAAAAGAAAAACGUGGAGAAGGAGUGCUGCUUUUUGUAUUGGAGACUGAAACUGGGUCACAGAGCACAUGAGGUACACACAAAACAUGGAACAGAGUCUGACACUGAGUUAGAUACUUCUAUUGUGUGAUAAUAAAAAUAAAGAAAAUAUGUGGUAUAACGUGCAUUCCAUGACAUUUUUACAGCACUGAACACCUGUUAUGAUGGAGGUGUCGUGACAACAGAGUUGAGGAUCCAAAUGUAGGCUUUAUUAUAGAGAGUGGUCAAACAGGCAGAGUCCAGCAGAUCUAAAUACUCUUGAAUAUAGCUCUCACAUGAUCGGGUGCCCUGCUCGAGAGCUAAUAACAGUGCAAUUAUUACUUAAGUAUUUUUUUUUACUAUUGUUGUUGAAAACUAAAGAUUUUGUUAUCUAAACCAGUGGUCUCAACCAGUGCACUACUACCCACUAUGGGGCCUCAGCACACUUCCAAGGUGGCCUCAUGAUGGAUGAAGAGGAAAGUUAAGGACGAUGGUUAUUGCCGUCUUCAUCAACCCAAAGGCUUGCACCAUACUUCUGCAAUUUGAUGGUAUGAUUGGCAGUCACGAUAAAAGACCGGUCGCUGGGGAUAUGGAAAUUUUGGCAGAUGACACCACUGCAGAUUUUUUCGUCGUUUUCAUCUUCCAAAAAGGACAGAGGCAUAGAUGGUAUGAUUGGCAGUCACGAUAAAAGACCGGUCGCUGGGGAUAUGGAAAUUUUGGCAGAUGACACCACUGCAGAUUUUUUCGUCGUUUUCAUCUUCCAAAAGGACAGAGGCAUAGAUGGUGCCUUCCCCGGCAAAGUUACAUGUCUCGUUCUGCGGCAAGUGAAUGUAACGGACCCGGGAGUCUGGUUUAAAAACCAUCUUCACAUCGGUGGAAAUGUUCCCUGA
rnacentral:lncRNA from 1 species